rnacentral:lncRNA from 1 species
UAAGAGGGAAAUUGAAAAAGAAUCCAUUCAGUAAGACAAAAACAUGCAGUUAGGAUUUUGAAGAAUUUAUUUUGCAAUACAAAAACUAGGUUUUUUAACUUUAAUGGAAGUACCAAGUGAAGGAAACAUGUUACAUCCAUAUGUUGUUGUGCAGAAAUCGAAAUGUGCGCAAUCCAAACGAGGAAAAUGUGAGUCAACAAAAG